rnacentral:rRNA from 1 species
GACGUAGGGCGCAAGCGUUGUCCGGAUUUAUUGGGCGUAAAGCGCUCGUAGGCGGCUUGUUGCGUCGUCCGUGAAAACCUGUGGCUCAACUACAGGCUUGCGGUCGAUACGGGCGGGCUGGAGUUCGGUAGGGGAGACUGGAAUUCCUGGUGUAGCGGUGAAAUGCGCAGAUAUCAGGAGGAACACCGGUGGCGAAGGCGGGUCUCUGGGCCGAUACUGACGCUGAGGAGCGAAAGCGUGGGGAGCGAACAGG